GGAGAGGUGGCAGAGCGGUUGAAUGCGCUUGACUCGAAAUCAGGUUACGGGGUGACUCGUACGUGGGUUCAAAUCCCACCCUCUCCG
rnacentral:tRNA from 1 species